UUGAUAAUUAUCAGAUGUAACAGGUAUCC
rnacentral:sRNA from 1 species